rnacentral:rRNA from 1 species
UGCAACAGCCUUAUCACCCUGCAGCUCAUAACCGGCAGCCCCACUGAAGCUCAGCAGGUGUGAGCCCGGUCAGUACCUGGAUGGGAGACCUCCUGGGAAAAAGCUAAGGUUGCUGCUGGAA